rnacentral:rRNA from 1 species
UACGGAGGGUGCAAGCGUUGUUCGGAAUUAUUGGGCGUAAAGGGCAGGUAGGUGGUCUUAAAGUCUACUGUGAAUCCCGAGACUUAACUUGGGAAGUGCGGUAGAUCAACUCUAAGACUAGAGUGCUGGAGGGGUUCGGUGGAACUUCCCGGUGUGAGCGGUGAAAUGCGUAGAUAUCGGGAGGAACACCAGAGGCGAAGGCGGCGGAACUGGACAGCAACUGACACUCAA